ACCAGACUCCUACGGGAGGCAGCAGUGAGGAAUAUUGGUCAAUGGCCGGAAGGCUGAACCAGCCAUGCCGCGUGAAGGUCAGUGCCCUAUGGGCGUUAAACUUCUUUUGUGCGGGAGCAAUAAUGGUCACGUGUGGCCAGACGAGGGUACCGUACGAAUAAGCAUCGGCUAACUACGUGCCAGCAGCCGCGGUAAUACGUAGGGGGCGAGCGUUAUCCGGAUUCACUGGGUGUAAAGGGAGCGUAGACGGCCAAGCAAGCCGGGGGUGAAAGCCCGGGGCCCAACCCCGGGACUGCCCUUGGAACUGCAUGGCUGGAGUGCGGGAGGGGCAGGCGGAAUUCCUGGUGUAGCGGUGAAAUGCGUAGAUAUCAGGAGGAACACCGGCGGCGAAGGCGGCCUGCUGGACCGCGACUGACGUUGAGGCUCGAAAGCGUGGGGAGCGAACAGGAUUAGAUACCCCCGUAC
rnacentral:rRNA from 1 species